CAUUUUUAAUGAUUACUGCUGCAUUAAAAUUUUACGCCUUCCUAAAUAUUUCAAUAAAGGCAUUGACAAAAAAUUAAUUUUUGCAUAUAUCCGAAGAUAUGACAAAGUGAAGAAAAACAUGAAAAAUUAAACAAGCUUCUUCAACAAAAUGAAAAAUGAUCUGUUUUGCGACUCUGUUAAAAACAAAGUAUCAAGAAAUAAUUUGUAUUCCGAUGAAUUGUCCUCAAAAUUUUGUGGUGAAGUAAGUUAUAUGAUUGGAAGAGAUUGGUUGCGAUGGGAAGACACCUAGGCUUGAGUGGUUCAGAUCUUGAUCACACUGACUCUGAUAAUAAGAAUUGUUAUGAAAAAGCUGACAACGUUUUAAAAAAAUGGAAGCAAAAAAAUGGAGGUCUUUCAUGGAAACAAUUAAAAAAAGAGUUAAAAGGUUUUGAUCGUUCAGAUAUUGUGAGAGAAAUUGAAAAAAAACUU